rnacentral:lncRNA from 1 species
GGGGCGGGGGAGGAGGUGGUGGAGGUAGAGAUGGAGGAGGAUGGGAUUGUGGAGGAGGUGGUGGUCGCGGAUGAGGUGGUGGAGGCAGUGGUAUGGAUGGUGGAGGAGGCGGGGAUGACAAAGGUGGUGAAAGAGGUGAAGGGGAUGGUGGUGGUAGCGACGGAGAUGGUGGAGGUGGCGAAGAAGACGGUGAAGGAGGCGGUGGUGAGGAUGGCAGAGAUGGGGGCGAAGGGGACGGCGGAGGUAGUAAUGGAGAAGGUGGAGGGGGCGAAGGGGUCAGUGGAGGGAGCGGAAAGAAUGGUGGAGGUGGUGGUGGUGGUGAGAAGAACGAAUGAGGUGGUGGAAUGGCUGGAGAUGGCAAAGGUGGAGGAGGUGGUGGAAUGAUUGGAGACGGAUAAGGAGAUGGCGCAGAAGGGGCCGGUGGAGAAGGUGGUGGAACGGUUGGGGAUGGUGAAUACGGUGGUGGAGGGGGCGAAAGGGAAGGUGGAGGAGGCGAAGGGGAUGGUGGAACGAUUGGAGAUGGUGCGGAAGGUGGUGGAGGGGGCGGCGGGAAUAGUGGAAUAGCAGGAGAUGGAUAAGGAAAUGGCGCAGAAGGUGGUGGAGGGGAUGGAGAUGGUUCAGAAGGUGGGGGUGGAGGAACUAGUGGAACGGCUGGAGGCGGAUAAGGAGAUGGUGCAGAAGGUGGUGGAAUGGUUGGCGAUGGAUAAGGAGAUGGUUGAGGGAGUGGUGGAGGGGGCGGAGGGGAGAGUGGAGGAGAUGAUGGCACAGCUGAAGACGGUAGUGCAGAAGAUAGUUCCUUCGUUGGAUAAGAAGCCAAUGAGUUAAUAGCACAAACACCAUAUGGCAAAUUAGUGUUUCUUCUUAUAUAUCCAUACCCCUCCACUCCCCAUGAUGUACCCCAUGAGUUUUUGAUUAUCCAGUAGCCAUCAUUCCCAUCAGAACCAUAUCCUACUAUUAGUACUCCAUGGUCUAAGUCAUCUGGACUACUAGAGCAACUUCCAUCAUAGAUUCCCUGCAUUUUUUCCAUAAUACAAGAAAAGGG